rnacentral:rRNA from 1 species
GACGAACGCUGGCGGCGUGCUUAACACAUGCAAGUCGAACGGAAAGGCCCUGCGUUUGUGGGGUUCUCGAUUGGCGAACGGGUGUGUAACACGUGAGUAACCUGCCCUUGACUUUGGGAGAACUUCAGGGAACUGGGGCUAAUACCGGAUAGGAGCUACUGCUGCAUGGGGGGGGUUGGUAAGUGUCGGCUGUUGGGGAUGGACUCGCUGGUUAUCAGCUUGUUUGUGAGGUAGGGGCUUCCCAAGUCUUUGAAGGGUAGCCGGCCUGGGAGGCUGACCGGCCACCAUGGGCCUGCGAGACGGACCAGUCUCCUACGGGCGGCAGCAGUCGGAAGCCUUGCGCAAUGGCCCGAAGCCUGAUGCAGCAACCCCGCGUGCGUGAUGCCGGCUUUUGGGUUGUAAACCGCUUUGGCCUGUGACGAACAGUGAGUGACGGUACUGGGUCAAGAAGCACCGGCUAACUACGUG